CCUACGGUGUGCAGCAGUGGGGAAUAUUGGACAAUGGGCGAAAGCCUGAUCCAGCCAUGCCGCGUGUGUGAAGAAGGCCUUCGGGUUGUAAAGCACUUUCAGUGGGGAAGAAAGCCUUGGGGCUAAUACCCUCGAGGAAGGACAUCACCCACAGAAGAAGCACCGGCUAACUCCGUGCCAGCAGCCGCGGUAAUACGGAGGGUGCGAGCGUUAAUCGGAAUUACUGGGCGUAAAGCGCGCGUAGGCGGUCUGAUAAGCCGGUUGUGAAAGCCCCGGGCUCAACCUGGGAACGGCAUCCGGAACUGUCAGGCUAGAGUGCAGGAGAGGAAGGUAGAAGUCCCGGUGUAGCGGUGAAAUGCGUAGAGAUCGGGAGGAAUACCAGUGGCGAAGGCGGCCUUCUGGACUGACACUGACGCUGAGGUGCGAAAGCGUGGGUAGCAAACAGGAUUAGAUACCCCGGUAGUC
rnacentral:rRNA from 1 species